rnacentral:tRNA from 1 species
GGCUUCAUGGUCAAGAGGUUAAGACGUCGCCCUCUCAAGGCGAAAUCACGAGUUCGAUUCUCGUUGGAGCUACCA